rnacentral:rRNA from 1 species
GACAGAGGGGGCGAGCGAUGUCCGGCGACACUGGGCGUAAAGCGCGCGCAGGCGGCAACCUCAGUGUCGUGUGAAAGCCCCCGGCUCAACCGGGGGAGGCCAUGGCAAACUGGGUCGCUCGAGCUGCGGAGAGGCCCCUCGAAUUGCCGGUGUAGCGGUGAAAUGCGUAGAGAUCGGCAGGAAGACCAAGGGGGAAGCCAGGGGGCUGGCCGCAGGCUGACGCUGAGGCGCGACAGCGUGGGGAGCAAACCGG